AAGCGGAGUAGCCCGGAGGUCCGGGCCCCUCACUUCACAGGCCCGUGGACACCAGUGACAACUCAGUCCUCCCGGCCCCGGCAGGAGCGCCCGGCCCAAGGGCUGGUGCCCGCCGCCGGGGCCCCCGGAAACCCCGCUCACCCUGGUCCCGUCCCCCCGCCUUCAGAAGCCUGGGUCUCAGGGGGAGUCUGCAUCACCAGAGGGUUUGGGAUCCAAGGGCAAACAUGCACCCCAACAGUCUGUUGGCGCCCCCCGCGAGCCAGCAGCCGCGAGUCGUGCCGAGGCGGGGGAAAGGGGACCCGAGGGGCAGCACGACACACCCCCGCCAGUGACAGGGCUUCGCCAGCCAAGUGUGCAGGGCCCUGGGGCGCCGCCUUCACCUCGGUCCGCACGGAGCUGGUCCUCGCCCUCCUCCCCGCGGCGCCUGGGAGCCGAGGGAACCGCGGGUCCGGGGCUNNNNNNNNNNNNNNNNNNNNNNNNNNNNNNNNNNNNNNNNNNNNNNNNNNNNNNNNNNNNNNNNNNNNNNNNNNNNNNNNNNNNNNNNNNNNNNNNNNNNUCUCCCUCACCCCUGUGACUCUUCCCUCGUCCCGCGCCCCCUCCCUCGCCCCUGCGGCUCCUCCCUCACUUCAUCCUCCCCGCCUUCACCCCUGCCCCCCUCAUCCCUGUGCCCCUCCCUCACUUCCUCCUCCCUUCCUUCACCCCUCCCUCAUCCCUAUGGCCUCCCUUACUCUUUGCCCCCUUCCUUGUCCCACACCCCCUCCCUCACCUCAUCCUCUCCCCCACAGCCUUCUCCCUCACCCUUGUGCCUUCCCUUGCCCUCUCACCCCUGCCCCCUCACUCAUCCCUCUCCAGCUGCCUGACUGUGCUCCUCACACACAGCAGGUGCACUUGGCAUGUGCUCAGUUGCACCGGCUGCGCUCCCCCUGCCCGGAUGCUCACCCCCAGCUGUCUGCUUGGCUCCCUGCCACCUCCUGGGAGCUCCGACUGCUCUGGGCGCACCCAGAAGGGCGGGCGGGCUCCGGACCGCAGCAGGAAAGCAAGUAUUGCAACCAAGUGGGUCAAAUGAUUUUUUUUGUUUCCCGGUUAUGUUUACACAAUACUGUCAGUUAUUAAGUGUGCAACGGCAUUGUGUCUAAAAAACAACGUAGGUGCCUUCAGUACAAAAAUACUCUGUCGCUAACAACAGCUGGCCGUCACCUGAGCUUCCGGCCUGCGCGGCCCUCUGCUGGGGGGGGGGGGGCUGCCCCGAUGCUGCCGGCCGCCCGCUGGGCCCCUGGCGGCUGUGGAAGCCGGGGCGUCGGUGGGAAGUUCUCAAACACGACGACAGCGUGCAGUGUGCUACGGCAGUGGGCCCGUUUUGUCCCGAGCGAGGUCUCCCGAGCGUGUGAUGCUGUUUGAUAGGAUGUUACUCUGGGCCACGGUAGAGUGGUCGUUGGGACCCCUUAGCAUCCUUGAGAAAGUUGUUUUUCAGGUGCCGCACAAGAGCGGGUGAGGCAAUGUCAUGAGGACAGAGCCCCGUGUCGCACGGCCGUAGAGGCGUCCCGGUGACCUCGUGGUCAGUCAGCGCCAGGUGGCACGAGGCGGCAGGCCCCUCGGCGCCGUUCAUCCGAAGCCGUUCAUCUCAAAGACCUGCUGCCUGGACCCCACUCCGCAGGGGCUCUGACUGAUGGGAGGAGGGGAGUGGACACGCAACGCUGGCAUUUAAACAUUUUUUAAAUGUUUAUUUAUUUUUUGAGAGACAGAGUGUGAGCAGGGGAGGGGCAGAGAGGGACACACAGACUCGGAAGCAGGCUCCAGGCUCCGAGCUGUCAGCACAGAGCCCGACGUGGGGCUCGAAUUCACAGACCGUGAGAUCAUGACCUGAGCCGAAGUCGGACACUCAGCCGACUGAGCCCCCCAGGCGCCCCCACACUGGUAUCUUAAAAGUGCCCUGCUGAUUCUGUGGGGCAGCCAGGGCCCAGGCACUCGGCGAAGGCUUGGACUCGGAGCAGGUGGAGACAUGAGUCCGGCCCUCAGGUUAGGACGUUCCAAGAAACACCGAUUCCCCACCUGUGGGCACGUUCCUCAGUUAUGAGUCACACAAAUGCACCGAAAAAACCCACAUCUGACCCCGGGAGCCUACAGUUUAUGACAAGGCGGGUGGUAAGUACCGUCAUUCUCCAGAUCUUCCCCUCGCUCACCUGCGGACAGGUUUACCGGCAAGCGAAUUACUAGGGUGGUGUGGGCCGCAACAGGCCAGGGCAGCCCGGCCCCCAGGUGACACGGCCCGCGCCCCCCGCGGCGGAGAGUCACUGUCAGGGCCGAGAGCCUGGGGCCUGUCCGCAUGGCUCCUUCCUCCAAGCCCCAAGCUUCCCUCACUCAAGCCCGUGCCUCAGCGAGGACGGCGCGCCGUCUGGAAGGGAAGCGCCCCUGCGCUGGUGCCUUCGGAGGCCUCCUCUCUGCAAAUGUCCUGAGGUCAGGGUUUCUGGGACCGGGCCUCCCCACGCCGUGUGCUCUGCGGCCGGAUGAGAGCUGGGGCCCAGAUGCUGCCACAUUCACUGCUUAUCUCGGGCUCCUUUUGGGAGGAAUGCGGACGCGGAGUGGGGGGAAGCACGAGUGAGGCUUUCCUGUUUCUCCAGCCCUGCCCCCCUCAUGCCCCCAUUCUCUAAGAGCCUGUGGCCAAGUGCCAGGACCCUCACCCCUGCAAGCGGCCGCCCCCCUGCCGCUUCCUCGGGGUGGUGGGGGUGCCUCUGUGCAGGGAUCCUCCUGUGAGGCUGGGAGGCCUGAGUGUCAGGUGACACUGAACCACAUGGGACCCCUCAGCAGCUUGCCGGUGGGAGCCCAUGACCUCCCUCCUUCUGGAAAGUUCCAGAUGAGAUUUGGGUCUAUCAGCUUCCGCAAACCUGGCAGUCACCAGAGGGCCAGGGUUCAGCAAUCAACAUCCUCAGGGACGUCCUGCUUUUGGGUCAAUGCCUCAUCCUCACUCGGAGAACAAGGGCAGGAAAUGCACUGUGGCCACCUGCUUCCUGUGUUGGGAGAAGGGAAGUCCCGAGACCACCUUAGGACUCAACCCUGGGGGUGGGGUGAGUGGACAAUGGCGGGCCACCAAGGGGACAGGGGGGCAGGAGGGGGAGGAGCCCAGGGUCAUGGGGAGGAUGGAGGCUGCAGGGGAGGGGCGCCCACGGAGGAUCGCACGUGCCCUCCCCCAGGCCCCUCCUCCCAGGCGGCAGGUCCUGUGGGCCCAGAAAAGAAGGGGGCACAGCAUUCUUCCUGAGCUUGCUCCCAGCGUCCAUCGUCGGGACUGGAUGGGGCACCCAGAGCCCUGAGGCGCCCUGGGCUGGUUUCAAGGUGGGGGUGGUGACGCUGCUUGGGUAGGGGUCCCUCGGCCCAGUGGCCUUGUUUGUCGUCUCCUUGUUAGGGACCACUUGUCGGGCAACAGAAGGGAGCAGGGUGAGUGGGUGGACUCAGUGCUGGGGGGAUGGAAGGAUGCUUCCCCAGGGAAGAGUGCGGGGCGGCACCCCAGGAGCAGCUCGGGGUGAGAGCAGGGGCCAUCCAGUCAGCCCUGGCAUUGGCGCUGGUGCCUCGCACGGGUCCUUGGAGAGGGGUUCUGCUUUUCUCCAGUUUUGUGGGCAAGAGGGCUGAGCACAGAGAAGCUACAUGGGUGGCCAAGGUCAGCUCCGGCUCGUGCGCUGCUCUGUCGUCUUAGCAUUUCCCAUGUCGCACGGACAAAGGCCAGGAAGCCUCGGUAGCACCCACGCUGCAGGGCAGAGCCUUUACCCAGGGCCACCAAGCUCCAGAAGUUUCCAGCAUUAGGCUCUUGAGGAGCACCCUCUGGGGGUCCCAGUACUCGCACGUGCCCUGGGGUAAGGGGAAGGCUCUGGAAGGUCACUCAAGUCUGACCAAGGCCCAGAGGCCCACCUGCAGCCUCUCCCUGUCCUGUGCCGCUGGACUCUGGGACAGAUGUGUCCUUUGCCCAUGGGUGCCCUGGGCCCCCUGCUCAGGGUAGAAGCGGGGACCCCGCAGGAGUGCGAACCAUCACCCACUAGCGUCCCCAGGAGGCCUGUCUAGACCAGGGCUCUGGCACCUGCAGGGCCGACUUCUUCCGGUGGAACCGCCGGGUCACAGGGCACGCUGGCUCCAGCCCCGGGCCCCAGACACAGCCAGUCCGUGCGCCCACUUCCAGAUUCCCACGGAGCUCAACAUCUUCGGGGCUGCUCGCGGGAAGUUGUGCGGGACUCCACCGCCCACACGUGCCCCAGGCUCCCAAGGGCUUGGGGGGGGGGGGUGUCCAAGAUCCCAGUUCCAGUGCAGAAGUGGGGCCUGUGAGUUGUUAACCUUAAAAAUAAAACUUCCAUGGGGUGCCUGGGUGGCUCGGUCAGUUAAGCGUCCCACAUCAUCUCACGUCACGAUCUCACGGUCUGUGGGUUCGAGCCCCAUGCGGGCUCUGUGCUGACAGCUCAGAGCCUGGACCCUGCUUUGGAUUCGGUGUCGCCCUCUCUCUCUGCCCUUCCUCCACUCACGCUCUUUCUCUCAAAAAUAAACAUUAGAAAAAAAUAAAAUAAAACUUCCAGUUGUUUUACCAGCAAUA
ensembl:lncRNA